rnacentral:rRNA from 1 species
UGAGGAAUAUUGGGUCAAUGGGCGAGAGCCUGAACCAGCCAAGUAGCGUGCAGGACGACGGCCCUAUGGGUUGUAAACUGCUUUUGCGCGGGGAUAAAGUGCGCCACGUGUGGCUCAUUGCAGGUACCGCGCGAAUAAGGACCGGCUAAUUCCGUGCCAGCAGCCGCGGUAAUACGGAAGGUCCGGGCGUUAUCCGGAUUCAUUGGGUUUAAAGGGAGCGCAGGCCGCCCCUUAAGCGUGUUGUGAAAUGCCGCGGCUCAACCGUGGCACUGCAGCGCGAACUGGGGGGCUUGAGUGCGCGCAGCGCAGGCGGAACUCGUGGUGUAGCGGUGAAAUGCUUAGAUAUCACGAAGAACUCCGAUCGCGAAGGCAGCCUGCGGGAGCGCAACUGACGCUGAGGCUCGAAAGUGCGGGUAUCGAACAGGAUUAGAUACCCUGGUAGU